rnacentral:rRNA from 1 species
AUUGAACGCUGGCGGCAUGCCUUACACAUGCAAGUCGAACGGCAGCACGGAGCUUGCUCUGGUGGCGAGUGGCGAACGGGUGAGUAAUAUAUCGGAACGUACCCAAGAGUGGGGGAUAACGUAGCGAAAGUUACGCUAAUACAGCAUACGAUCUAAGGAUGAAAGUGGGGGAUCGCAAGACCUCAUGCUCCUGGAGCGGCCGAUAUCUGAUUAGCUAGUUGGUGAGGUAAAGGCGCACCAAGGCAGCGAUCAGGAGCUGGUCUGAGAGGACGACCAGCCACACGGGAACUGAGACACGGUCCAGACUCCUACGGGAGGCAGCAGUGGGGAAUUUUGGACAAUGGGGGCAACCCUGAUCCAGCAAUGCCGCGUGAGUGAAGAAGGCCUUCGGGUUGUAAAGCUCUUUUGUCAGGGAAGAAACGGUGAAGGCUAAUAUCCUUUGCUAAUGACGGUACCUGAAGAAUAAGCACCGGCUAACUACGUGCCAGCAGCCGCGGUAACAC